GGGUCAGCUUUAGCUCAAGCGGUUACUUCGGUUUCUGCUCGUUGCGGACACAUAACCCUACCUUAGGGUUCGAGACCCGCGGGCGCUCUCUGACCCUUUU
rnacentral:vault_RNA from 12 species